CAGAUACAGUGAUGAUAACAUAGUUCAACAGAUAUCUCCUGAUGAAUAAUGUUUUGUCUUUCGCUCCUAUCUGAUGUAUCUA
ensembl:snoRNA